GAGUUUGAUCCUGGUUCAGAUUGAACGCUGGCGGCAUGCCUUACACAUGCAAGUCGAACGGUAACAGGUCUUCGGAUGCUGACGAGUGGCGAACGGGUGAGUAAUACAUCGGAACGUGCCUAGUAGUGGGGGAUAACUACUCGAAAGAGUGGCUAAUACCGCAUGAGAUCUACGGAUGAAAGCAGGGGAUCGCAAGACCUUGUGCUACUAGAGCGGCCGAUGGCAGAUUAGGUAGUUGGUGGGAUAAAAGCUUACCAAGCCGACGAUCUGUAGCUGGUCUGAGAGGACGAUCAGCCACACUGGGACUGAGACACGGCCCAGACUCCUACGGGAGGCAGCAGUGGGGAAUUUUGGACAAUGGGCGCAAGCCUGAUCCAGCAAUGCCGCGUGCAGGAUGAA
rnacentral:rRNA from 1 species